UCUCCGGGCUCUUUUUCCUCCAGAUCCAGUCCCAAGUUGCUCUCUCCUUCCUUUGCUGUCUUUUUCUCCUUCUUCCUCUUCUCUUCUUUCUCCUUGGCCUCUUUCUUCUCUCUCUUGUCUUCACUGUAGGGAUACAAAGGCCCCAAACCAUAAUAAGAAACAGAGACACUCCUAUUUAAUGGCCACUCACUUGAGCCAGCCCAUGUGAUGAGUAUUUUACAAGCGGUAUCUCAGUGAAUCUUCAAAAU
rnacentral:lncRNA from 1 species